rnacentral:rRNA from 1 species
GAGUUUGAUCCUGGCUCAGGACGAACGCUGGCGGCGUGCUUAACACAUGCAAGUCGAACGAGAAUCUGCUGAAGGAGGAUUCGUCCAACGGAAGUAGAGGAAAGUGGCGGACGGGUGAGUAACGCGUGAGGAACCUGCCUUGAAGAGGGGGACAACAGUUGGAAACGACUGCUAAUACCGCAUGAAGCAUAGGGGUCGCAUGAUCUUUAUGCCAAAGAUUUAUCGCUUCAAGAUGGCCUCGCGUCUGAUUAGCUGGUUGGCGGGGUAACGGCCCACCAAGGCGACGAUCAGUAGCCGGACUGAGAGGUUGAACGGCCACAUUGGGACUGAGAUACGGCCCAGACUCCUACGGGAGGCAGCAGUGGGGGAUAUUGCACAAUGGGGGAAACCCUGACGCAGUGACGCCGCGUGGAGGAAGAAGGUCUUCGGAUUGUAAACUCCUGUUGUUGGGGAAGAUAAUGACGGUACCCAACAAGGAAGUGACGGCUAACUACGUGCCAGCAGCCGCGGUAAUUC